rnacentral:RNase_P_RNA from 1 species
UGAGUAAACUAGGCAGUCGCGGGGGUAAGUAUGACUUCCGAGGAAAGUCCGAGCUCCGCAGGGCAGGGUGCUGGGUAACGCCCAGUGGGGGCGACCCCAAGGAUAGUGCCACAGAAAUAAACCGCCCGGGUAAAAAAUUUAUUUUUUAUCCGGGUAAGGGUGCAACGGUACGGUAAAAGCGUACCAGGGGCCGGGUGACCGGCCUGCUAGGUAAACCCCACCCGGAGCAAGACUGAAUAGGAGGGAGAUGACGUUGCCCGCCGAAUCCCUCGGGUGUGAGUCGCUGGAGGAGCCAGGCAACUGGCGCCCUAGAUAGAUGGCUGCCGCUCCUUUUAAGGAGAACAGAACUCGGCUUACAGGUUUGCUCAUGCA